AAGUGGGAAUCGAAAAUAAAAAUGUUAUACCUUAGAGAUUAUGAUUUUGAAAUUUUUAUGUGUUAAAGUGAAAUUUUGAUAUGGAAUUAUGGUGGAUAGUUGUUUGUUAGAAUUGUUGUGCAUGUAAUUAAUUUUAUGUUGGUAUGGUUAUGAGAAAUUAAAUUAUGUAAAAAAAAGAAAAGAAUGUGUAGAGAUUGUUAAAAUUGGAGGCCAUAUAUAUAUUGAUUUUUAUGUUAGCAAUUUGUAUGAAAAUUGUUUGAUAGUUCGGUAUUAUUUUUGUAAAUUCAUAAUUACAUGGUUUAUUAUACAUGUUAAAUAUUCAUGCUUAGAUUUAUUGAGAAUGGUUAAAAGUUGGUGUGAAUUUUGUUAAUUUUGGAGAUGAUUAGCAAAUUAAAAAGUUAAGGGGUUAAAAUGUAACUUUCGUAAAAAUAAAGGACCAGUCAGUAUUUUAACCAAAAUUUCAGAUUAUAGAUGUACAUAAUCUGAUGUAGAAUGAUUUUAAAUGAUUCUAGUAAGUUUUGGAAAGAUUUGAAUGUUUUUGCCGAAAACUAGAGUUUUGGGGUUAAAUUGUAGUUUUCCAAAUUAUGAGGGGCUACAUGGUAUGUUAGCCAAAGUUUCCAGAUUAUAUUUGUUAAUAAUCUGAAGUAGAAUGACUUUGGAUAUUUUAAGUAAUUUUCUCGAUUUUAAAAUCGAUUAGUUUACGAAAGGACCUAAAUGGUCAAUUUUGAAAAGUUUGAGGAUAUUUUAGUAUUUUAACCAAAAGGGGAAUUUAAGCCAAUAUAGGGUUGUUUUAAUUAUCUUAUGGAAUGGUUAGACCCAAUAUUGAAAGUAAAUCCAAAUUUUAAUAUUAUUUAGUUCGGUAAUUAAUGGAAUAAGGGUAAUGUGAUAAAAGGGAAAUAUGGUAAUUUGAUUAGUUUAGUGAAACUAAUUAAAGAGAUAAAAGAAAAAGAAUUAUUUGUGGUUAUUUAUGAAAGUCCAUAGAUGUGGAAUGAACCUUGAAUUUAUUUCAAGUGUUUUCCUGAAUCGAACCCGAUAGAGUAGGUUCGUAAUUCUCGAAUAGUCGAGAAUGAGAAGGAAUUGUGAAUCGGUUACGUUGAAAUAACGACCGAAAAUGAUAGUGUUUUGUGAAAAGUUUUUAAUGUGAUGAUUGUUUGUAUACGAUAUGAUAUCGUAUUUAUGUGGCUACGUGUUUAGAGGUCGGUAAUAGAUUUAGAAUUCUAUUUUGAAAUCGACUUAACACGAUUCCUGAAUAUAGAUGUGACGGAAAGUCAACUAUUGACGGAUCAAAUUGAAGGAGCACCGGUUGGAAUAGACCGAGUGGCUAAUAGUGGAUCAUCGUGGCGUAUUUAAUUAUUUAUGGAGCGACAGUCUGAAUAUUGCCUGUGUCUGGACGAGACUUCAUCUUUUUAAUUCUUGAAGUCUUCGUUUUGCGUAUAUGGUAUUUGGUCUUAUCUUGAUCUAUAGAGCUGCAGUAGAAUAGAUAGACAGACGCCUUAGCAUGUCAGUAUUUGCAAUGUUUGCCACGCAUGAACUCUGUUUUGUUUUCAUCGCACGAUUAUAAUAUAUUUUAACGACAUGCAUUAAGGUAUUGGAAAAUAGUUGCAACCCGGGUACACGGUAGUACCGGGAGUUUUGAGAUACAGUGUAAAGGAAACUGUACGCAACUAUGUUAUGUGUAUAAUAUGGGGCCCAGCGUGGCUAUAUGCAUGAUUGCAUGUUAUCGGUUUUGUAAAAGACGGUAUUCGAGGAAUACGCGUCAAAACGAUAACCAGUAAUUGAAAAGUAACGGUUUUAAUUUAAUGAAAUGGUCUGCAUAGUGAAAUGCAGUUAUCACCAUAA